UGGGGAAAAAUCAUGGUGUCAGUUUGGAA
rnacentral:piRNA from 1 species